UACGUAGGGUGCAAGCGUUGUCCGGAAUUAUUGGGCGUAAAGAGCUCGUAGGUGGUUUGUCGCGUUGUUCGUGAAAACUCACAACCCAAUUGUGGGCGUGCGGGCGAUACGGGCAGACUGGAGUACUGCAGGGGAGACUGGAAUUCCUGGUGUAGCGGUGGAAUGCGCAGAUAUCAGGAGGAACACCGGUGGCGAAGGCGGGUCUCUGGGCAGUAACUGACGCUGAGGAGCGAAAGCGUGGGGAGCGAACAGG
rnacentral:rRNA from 1 species